rnacentral:rRNA from 1 species
GGACCUACCCGGCUGAACUUUAAGCAUAUCAAUA